GACGAACGCUGGCGGCGUGCUUAACACAUGCAAGUCGAACGAAGUGGCGAACGGGUGAGUAACGCGUAAUCCACUUGCCCUUCAGAGGGGGACACCAGUGGAAAACGACUGCUAAUACCGCAUACUGAAGGGGGGGAUUGUGUCGGAUUAGCUAGUUGGGGGGGUAACGGCCCACCAAGGGGAAGAUCAGUAGCCGGUCCGGGAGGGUGGACGGCCACAUUGGGAAUGAGGCACGGCCCAGAAUCCUACGGGAGGCAGCAGUGGGGGAUCUUCCGCAAUGGACGAAAGUCUGACGGAGCAACGCCGCGUGAGUGAUGACGGCCUUCGGGUUGUAAAGCUCUGUUAAUCGGGACGCGGUACCGGAAUAGAAAGCCACGGCUAACUACGUGCCAGCAGCCGCGGUAAUAC
rnacentral:rRNA from 1 species